CCAAUAGCGUAUAUUAAAGUUGUUGCAGUUAAAAAGCUCGUAGUUGAAUUUCGAGACCGGUUUACUGGUCGUGCUUUUGUGCGUACUGGUAUUAUUGGUUUCUCCUUUCUGACGAAUCAUAAUGCCAUUAAUUUGGUGUUUUGGGGAAUCAGGACUGUUACUUUGAAAAAAUUAGAGUGUUUAAAGCAGGCUCACGCUUGAAUACAUUAGCAUGGAAUAACGAAAUAGGACGUUUGAUUUUAUUUUGUUGGUUUCUAGGAUCGACGUAAUGAUUAAUAGGGAUAGUUGGGGGCAUUAGUAUUCAAUUGUCAGAGGUGAAAUUCUUGGAUUUAUUGAAGACUAACUACUGCGAAAGCAUUCGCCAAGGAUGUUUUCAUUAAUCAAGAACGAAAGUUAGGGGAUCGAAGACGAUCAGAUACCGUCGUAGUCUUAACCAUAAACUAUGCCGACUAGGGAUCGGAUGAUGUUAAUUUUUUAAUGACUCAUUCGGCGCCUUACG
rnacentral:rRNA from 1 species